UCUCCUCCUCCAAAAUCGUAGUUCUAUUUUCUCACUCUACAAAACCCCUUGUCUUUCUGAAGCUUCAUGUUUUCAAGCCUAGAUUUAUUCCUUUCUAGUAGGAUUUAAUCUUUACCAUUAAAGUCAAAGUUGUAGAGCUCAAUGAGAGUUACAAGGUGAUCGGAGUAGAUUUCCAUUUAGAGGAUUCUGGCAUUUUCGAAUUUGGGACUUUUGGGAGCUUUGGCUUGGUUUAUUUGAGGGGUAUGGGGGAUACAUUACACUUUUUGGAGCUGUUGUAUUGUCAGGAAAUAGCGGGGGAAGAUUCUGAUUUGUGCAUUUCGGUUCCAUCCGCACAUGGACGUUUUGAUGUUUAGUCAUUUUAUUGUUAUCUUGUUGAUGCUUCUGGACUAUCCUUCCCAUGGGGGGCAAUUUGGCGUGCAAGGGCUCCUUGUGCUUUAUGUGCAAAAAUGACGAGAAAA